rnacentral:rRNA from 1 species
CCUACGGGCGGCAGCAGUGAGGAAUAUUGGUCAAUGGGCGGGAGCCUGAACCAGCCAAGUCGCGUGAGGGAAGACGGUCCUACGGAUUGUAAACCUCUUUUGCCGGGGAGCAACGGGGUCCUUGCGAGGGCCCGAUGAGAGUACCCGGAGAAAAAGCCUCGGCUAACUCCGUGCCAGCAGCCGCGGUAAUACGGAGGAUGCGAGCGUUAUCCGGAUUUAUUGGGUUUAAAGGGUGCGUAGGCGGGCUGUUAAGUCAGCGGUCAAAUGUCGGGACUCAACCCCGGCCUGCCGUUGAAACUGGCGGCCUCGAGUGGGCGAGAAGUAGGCGGAAUGCGCAGUGUAGCGGUGAAAUGCUUAGAUAUUGCGCAGAACUCCGAUUGCGAAGGCAGCAUACCGGCGGCGAUCUGACGCUGAGGCACGAAAGCGUGGGUAUCGAACAGGAUUAGAUACCCGUGUAGUC